rnacentral:tRNA from 1 species
UGAGGUAUAGCUCAAAGUGGUAGUGUGCAUGCUUAGCAUGCAGGGGGUCUUGGGUUCAAUUCCCAGUAUCUCCU